GAGGGAACAGGAGGAGACAAUUAGGAAUCAGGGGAGACAAUCGACAGGAGACACCUGAGGAAUGGCAAGGCACCUGAAACGAGAGGGGGUUUAGACGCCACAAUAAAACAGGAAGUAUCAAAAUCAGACGUAAGACGGGACACAAACACAAACUUCACCAACAUGUAUGACAGUUUGUGUGGACUGUGCUGCUGCUGCUUGGCCAGGUCAACCACCAUCAGAUAGAACCACCAGCACAUAGAACCACCAACAUAUAUAACCACCGUCACAUAUUUAUAACAUAUAUAACCACCAUCAGAUAGAACCACCAACAUAUAUAUAUCCACCAUCAGAUAGAACCACCCUCAUACGUAUAUAACCGCCAUCAGAUAGAACCACCAACAUAUAUAACCACCAUCAGAUAGAACCACCAACAUAUAUAACCACCAUCAGAUAGAACCACCAACAUAUAUAACCACCAUCAGAUAGAACCACCAACAUAUAUAACCACCAUCAGAUAGAAACACCAACAUACGUAUAUAACCGCCAUCAGAUAGAACCACCAACAUAUAUAUCCACCAUCAGAUAGAACCACCAACAUAUAUAUCCACCAUCAGAUAGAACCACCAACAUAUAUAACCAUCAUCAGAUAGAACCACCAACACAUAUAUCCACCAUCAGAUAGAACCACCAACAUAUAUAACCACCAUCAGAUAGAACCACCAACAUAUAUAACCACCAUCAGAUAGAACCACCAACAUACGUAUAUAACCGCCAUCAGAUAGAACCACCAACAUAUAUAACCGCCAUCAGAUAGAACCACCAACAUAUAUAACCACCAUCAGAUAGAACCACCAACAUAUAUAACCACCAUCAGAUAGAACCACCAACAUAUAUAACCACCAUCAGAUAGAACCACCAACAUAUAUAUCCACCAUCACAUAGAACCCCCAACAUAUAUAAUCACCAUCAGAUAGACCCACUUCAGUGUGCAUGUUACACGCAGUAUAUGUUGGAGAAGAGGAGGAUAGGAAGAGAGGAGAAGAGACGAGGAGGAGAAGACGGGAGGAGUAGAGGAAGUAGGGCAGUCUCGCUGCAGGGGAGGGGCCAGUGAUGACAGAGAGAGCUGCUGAAGCUGCGUAGCAUCGGUAGCAGCAAGCUAACAGAGAGACAGACAGGCAGACAGAGACAGAGACAAUCGACUGAACAUCAGUAGGUUCUCCAUCUUUCUUCUCUCCUCCUUUUCCUGCUGCUGUGUCUACUGCUGAAGAAGAACAUGUAUCCGUAACCCCCCGUCUCCUGUCCCCCCCUCCUCCUCCUCAGCAUUCACAGGAUGCUUG
ensembl:lncRNA